AACGUAGGACGCAAGCGUUAUCCGGAGUUACUGGGCGUAAAGCGCGGGCAGGCGGCUCGAAACGUCUGAUGUGAAAUCUCCUCGCUCAACGGGGAGAGGCCAUUGGAAACGGUCGAGCUGGAGGGCAGUAGAGGUAGGCGGAAUUCCGGGUGGAGUGGUGAAAUGCGUAGAUAUGCGGAGGAACACCGAUGGCGAAGGCAAUCCCCUGGACCUGUACUGACGCUCAUGCACGAAAGCGUGGGGAGCAAACAGG
rnacentral:rRNA from 1 species